rnacentral:rRNA from 1 species
GACGAACGCUGGCGGCGUGCUUAACACAUGCGAGUCGAACGGAAAGGCCCUGCUUUUGUGGAGUGCUCGAGUGGCGAACGGGUGAGUAACACGUGAGUAACCUGCCCUUGACUUUGGGAUAACUUCAGGAAACUGGGGCUAAUACCGGAUAGGAGCUCCUGCUGCAUGGUGGGGGUUGGAAAGUUUCGGCGGUUGGGGAUGGACUCGCGGCUUAUCAGCUUGUUGGUGGGGUAGUGGCUUACCAAGGCUUUGACGGGUAGCCGGCCUGAGAGGGUGACCGGCCACAUUGGGACUGAGAUACGGCCCAGACUCCUACGGGAGGCAGCAGUGGGGAAUAUUGCACAAUGGGCGGAAGCCUGAUGCAGCAACGCCGCGUGCGGGAUGACGGCCUUCGGGUUGUAAACCGCUUUCGCCUGUGACGAAGCGUGAGUGACGGUAAUGGGUAAAGAAGCACCGGCUAACUACGUG